CUCUAUGUAUUAUAUACUCUAUGAAUGUCUUGAACGUCUUCCACUGGGACUUAACUGAGCCCUUAAACCUAUACAACCCUCAGCAACGGAUUCUCUUCGGCUUCUCGCAUCGAUGAAAGAAACGCAGCGAAAAUGGCGAAUAAAGUAAAUGGUGGAAAUUCGCAGAAAUUUCAGUGGAAUUCAUCGAAAUCCUUUCGAAACGCACCCUUGGCGCCCUCUUGGGUAUUUCCGAGAGGGCAUGGCCUGGUUUUUGAGUGGUCAUUUAAAUUUCUCAACUUUCAAAAGCUUUUUGUCUUUUUUGAAGCUUGGGAUGUGAAGAGCUGGCUGGGCGUUUUAAAAUGGUUCAGCUCCCUUUUGAAAUGGCAUUAGUGGGACCCCAUUUUGUGUUCAGCCCUUAGUGGUGAUAAUUAUCUACGCCUAAUGGGUUUUUUUGAAUACUGGGCUCAUUAGAUUCUUUCGAAGGGUGUUUUAUACAUUCUUCGGUGGUUGGGGGGGAAGUUGCCAUGGAAACCUUGCCUCCUCUCUGUCCUAAUUUGAGGUUUUGGGCCUUGGUCCUGCUUUUCUAACUGUCCUAACCUUUUGGUGGGACC
rnacentral:rRNA from 1 species